CCCCGGUGAGCCGGGGCGCUGCCCCGCCGUGCUGCUGCUUCGCUCUGCGCUUCCCUCGCUGCCGUCGGCGGAGGUUACACUUAAUAUUGGAAAGGUUACCCUGAUGCCUGGAAGAUGGUGAGUGCAUGGUGAUUCCUUCCUGGGAAGAUCUUGUUCCAGGGACAUGGGAUACCAGGAUGCCCUGAACCACAUACGGUGGCUGAAAUAUUUUACAGACCAGAUGUUUAUGCCUGUCCACUGAGAUUUAUCCCCCUUCCAUAUUUGAAUGGGCAGAAUAGGUCUCAUAAGCACUCUCCAUUCAUAUCACUGCAAAGACUGAGUGAG
rnacentral:lncRNA from 13 species